rnacentral:rRNA from 1 species
CGCGGUAAUACAGAGGGUGCAAGCGUUAAUCGGAAUUACUGGGCGUAAAGCGCGCGUAGGUGGUUUGUUAAGUUGGAUGUGAAAGCCCCGGGCUCAACCUGGGAACUGCAUCCAAAACUGGCAAGCUAGAGUAUGGUAGAGGGUGGUGGAAUUUCCUGUGUAGCGGUGAAAUGCGUAGAUAUAGGAAGGAACACCAGUGGCGAAGGCGACCACCUGGACUGAUACUGACACUGAGGUGCGAAAGCGUGGGGAGCAAACAGGAUUAGA